rnacentral:rRNA from 1 species
UUACGGGAGGCAGCAGUGGGGAAUCUUGCGCAAUGGGGGAAACCCUGACGCAGCAACGCCGCGUGAGUGAUGAAGGCCUUCGGGUCGUAAAGCUCUGUCAGGUGGGAAGAAUGGCUUUGAUACAAACAGUGUCAGAGCGUGACGGUACCACCGGAGGAAGCACCGGCUAACUCCGUGCCAGCAGCCGCGGUAAUACGGAGGGUGCGAGCGUUGUUCGGAAUUACUGGGCGUAAAGCGCGUGUAGGCGGUCGGGCAAGUCCGAUGUGAAAGCCUUCCGCUUAACGGAAGAAGUGCAUUGGAAACUACCCGGCUGGAGUUCGGGAGAGGAGAGUGGAAUUCCUGGUGUAGAGGUGAAAUUCGUAGAUAUCAGGAGGAACACCGGUGGCGAAGGCGGCUCUCUGGCCCGGUACUGACGCUGAGACGCGAAAGCGUGGGGAGCAAACAGGAUUAGAUACCCCGGUAGU